AAUGAGAACACUUUUUUCUAGUAUACAAGAUUUAUCCCCUUGGCACUUUUACCUAGUAAUGGCAUAAUACAAAGUUGGCUCAUGAUAUCAUAUAUCCAAACAUGGCCUUAUACAAUGUUGGCUCAUGAGUUAUGACAGCCUUUUCCAUUUUAAUUUGUUGACCUUCUCAUUGACUUAAAGGCUUGAAAUUCUUUAAUUUUUUUGCUUGAAGGCUAUAGAUCAUGGUCUUUCUCCUAGCUAC
rnacentral:lncRNA from 1 species